rnacentral:rRNA from 1 species
CCUACGGGAGGCAGCAGUGAGGAAUAUUGGUCAAUGGCCGCAGGGCUGAACCAGCCAAGUCGCGUGAGGGAUGACGGUCCUAUGGAUUGUAAACCUCUUUUGUCAGGGAGCAAAGGGCGCCAAGAGUGGGGUUUUGCGAGUACCUGAAGUAAAAGCAACGGCUAACUCCGUGCCAGCAGCCGCGGUAAUACGGGGGAUGCGAGUGUUAUCCGGAUUUAUUGGGUUUAAAGGGUGCGCAGGCGGAAUGUCAAUGCAGCGGUAAAAUUUCGGGGCUCAGCCCCGUCGUGCCGUUGAAACUGGCGUUCUUGAGUGAGCGAGAAGUAUGCGGAAUGCGUGGUGUAGCGGUGAAAUGCGUAGAUAGCACGCAGAACUCCAGUGGCGAAGGCAGCAUAGCGGCGCUCAACUGACGCUCAUGCACGAAAGCGUGGGGAUCGAACAGGAUUAGAUACCCGAGUAGUC